rnacentral:rRNA from 1 species
GACGGAGGAUGCAAGCGUUAUCCGGAAUUAUUGGGCGUAAAGCGUCCGCAGGUGGCUGUUCAAGUCUGCUGUCAAAGCGCAGAGCUUAACUCUGUACAGGCGGUGGAAACUGAAGAGCUAGAGUAUGGUAGGGGUAGAGGGAAUUCCCGGUGUAGCGGUGAAAUGCGCAGAUAUCGGGAGGAACACCAGUGGCGAAGGCGGCACUCUGGGCCGGUACUGACGCUGAGGAGCGAAAGCGUGGGGAGCGAACAGG